UACGUAGGGUGCAAGCGUUAAUCGGAAUUACUGGGCGUAAAGCGUGCGCAGGCGGUUUUGUAAGUCUGUCGUGAAAUCCCCGGGCUUAACCUGGGAAUUGCGAUGGAGACUGCAAGGCUGGAGUUUGGCAGAGGGGGGUAGAAUUCCACGUGUAGCAGUGAAAUGCGUAGAGAUGUGGAGGAACACCGAUGGCAAAGGCAGCCCCCUGGGUCAAAACUGACGCUCAUGCACGAAAGCGUGGGGAGCAAACAGG
rnacentral:rRNA from 1 species